CUCUCUGGAGAUACAAGUGUAUACGUUCCUCCUGUUUGUAUUUGUAUGUGUUUGAGCGUAUCUACGCUAUAUGUCUGUGUGUGUGUGUGUGUGUGCGUGUGUGUGUGUGUGUGUGUGUGUGUGUGCAUAUGUUCAUACGAGUGUGUGUAAGUGUGUGCGCGCGCGCGUUUGUUUCGUAAUCUCUUUCGGACAUUUAUUUUAUUUGUUUCUCUCUCAGCGUAUGUGUGAUGGUCUAUAUGCGAUAUACGUAUGCAUACGUUUGUAUGUAUCUGUGUGUUUGUGUAGUGGAGACUAUGUAUGUAUAUCUCUCUCUAUAUAUAUAUAUAUGGUACUAUACAGUAAUGAGUAGUUGCUGUGGAACAUUGGUACAUAUGUGUGCGUAUGUGUGUUCUUGAGCAAAUGUUGGUUUGAGCGUGAACUGUGGUUGAAAUGCCUAACAGACCUGUAAACGGUACCGAGAUAACUGCACAGACUGAAACCUCCGAACACUGACGGAACAGAAGAAAGAAUUGUAGUAAAACAAUACAAUUUAGUUCAUUCUGUAAAAGACUUGUGUUUUUCUUCGAAGCGACAGGCUGUGGCGCACACACAGACACAUAGUCUCGUUGCAGUCUAGUCAUUGGAUGUUUAACGCCAAAGAGGAUAUAUAGUGAAGACACUUCCGGAUUCGUAACUCUAUUAAGAGAGCUAUUGUGCCUAACGUGGGAGAUACAAGAGAUCACAACGAAGAAAAGAAAAAAAGAACACAAUAAGAAAAAAGUAAAAAAAAAAAAAACAAAAAAAACAAAGUCACCUCCGUUGCUAGACAAACAAUCAAACAAUUAAAAUAGUGACCGUAACAAAAGUACCACACUAUACAUACAUACAUACAUGCAUACAUACAUGCAUACAUACAUACAUACAUACAUACAUACAUGUAAGUAUGUAUGUAUAUAUAAAUAUAUAUAUGUAUAUGAGACAAUGCACAAGUGAAACUGAAAGUCGACGAAGAAUCAAAACAGCGCGAUAAAUUAAUAUGAACACUUACGGGAGGAUAAAAGCCAGCGUCUGAGACAAUGUUAUAAUAGGAAAUUGUAAUAAUAAUAAUAAUAAUAAUAAUAAUAAUAAUAAUCAUAGUAAUAGUAAUAAUAAUAAUCGUAUCAAUAAUAACGAUUUAAAUAAUCUACCCCCUCCUACUACAACUACUAUUGCUACUACAAGAACAGUAGUAAUAAUAAAUUCAAUAUGAACAAAUACAAGGAUAAACACAAAAAUGAAAGCGACAAUAAAAAGAACAGUUAUAUAUGACAAUGCCGUUAAGAGGGCGAGAGUAUAGGAAAUAUGCAUGAAACAAGUGAAUUUAAAAAAAAAGAAAAAAUAAAUUAGAACUCGAAGGAAUUACGCGAAAAAGUUAUUCUUACCGUUGCUGUAGAUGUUACAACUGCUGGUGUGUUGUUGUAUGCAGGUAUUCAACAUUUAAGAUAAUAAUAUAAUACGCUUUUGGAAAUUGUCUUUCGAAGCACAUAAAUAUUGAGUUGGAAAACUCUUUUGAAUGCUAAUAGUCGAAGGCUGCACGCAGGCAGUGCACUCUGCAUGUUAAUUAAACAUCGCUAGGGUAAGUA